UACUGUGCCGCAGUACUCUGAACUGUCGCAGUACUCAUGCAUGCACNCAAGAAUGAACACUCGACUAGAGGACCCUAGUAACAUUUUAUAUAAAGAUUUAUAUACACUACUAUUUUGUUGGGGUGACAGAAUAACAGAUAAACUUAUUUUAUUAUAUUAGAAAUUUUAUAUAAUGAAAAACAAAAUUACUCUAGGGAUAACAGCAUAAUUAUUUAAUAGUUUGUGACCUCGAUGUUGGACUAAGGAAUAUUUUAUUUAGAAGAUAAAGUAGCGUGCUCUGUUCGAGCAAUUAAUCCUUACAUGAUCUGAGUUCG
rnacentral:rRNA from 1 species